UACGUAGGGUGCAAGCGUUAAUCGGAAUUACUGGGCGUAAAGCGUGCGCAGGCGGUUCGGAAAGAAAGGUGUGAAAUCCCAGGGCUUAACCUUGGAACUGCACUUUUAACUACCGGGCUAGAGUACGACAGAGGGGGGUAGAAUUCCACGUGUAGCAGUGAAAUGCGUAGAGAUGUGGAGGAAUACCGAUGGCGAAGGCAGCCCCCUGGGAUGAUACUGACGCUCAUGCACGAAAGCGUGGGGAGCAAAC
rnacentral:rRNA from 1 species